UCAAUUUGUGUUCCGUGAUUUUAGUCAUCAUAGGAAUCACAUCAGUUACGGUGGUGGUUUUCACUUCAACCAUGACAACAAACCCAAAACGACAGCAACAAAAGAAACACAGAAUCAGAAAACAGUACCCGGCGUGAACAGUACCACGUGCCGGUGAACAGUACUCGUGAACAGUGUCGAUGAACAGUACCGAUGAACAGUACCCGUGAACAGUCCGAUGAACAGUACUGAUAAAAACACCUCCCCCAAAACCCGAACGGCAAAUAAACCUCAGAUCUGACAAGGGAACGAUGUGGCGACUCCAGCGAUGGUGAGAUCCAAAUAUUACCCGUUAUGGGUAACUCAAAUAAACAGAGCCCUAAGUCUCCAAAAAAUUUUUUUUUUUUUUCUUAAAAAAAAACUUUGACGGGAGAGAAAAAUUAAAUCUCUACGAGAAAGGCUCUGAUACCAUGUAGAAGGAUAAUAUUUGUUGUAUUUCACAAUAGAGAUUACAAUCUAUUUAUACAUGAGAGAGGGUAUCUAAAUAGGAAGGAAAAUCAAGUCUAUGAUUAUACAAUCCCUAGGAUUAAGCAACUGACCCAUCUAUCAAUAUUUACUUCCUAUAUUAACAUAUUUACUUUCUAUAACUUAUAACAC
rnacentral:lncRNA from 1 species